UGGUGGAGUGAUUUGUCUGGUUAAUUCCGAUAACGAGCGAGACCUCAACCUACUAAUUAGCAGUUGGAAUUCUUUGAAUUCUUUUCAGCUUCUUAGAGGGACUUUCGGCUCAAGCCGAAGGAAGUUUGAGGCAAUAACA
rnacentral:rRNA from 1 species